rnacentral:rRNA from 1 species
CAAGCGGUGGAGCAUGUGGUUUAAUUCGACGCUACGCGAAGAACCUUACCUGGGCUUGACAUGUAAGUGGUAAGAACCCGAAGGGGAUGACUUGGGGAACUCCUUGAGCUUACACAGGUGCUGCAUGGCUGUCGUCAGCUCGCGCCGUGAGGUGUUGGGUUAAGUCCCGCAACGAGCGCAACCCCUAUCCUCUGUUGGUCCGCAAGGAUCUCUCUGAGGAAACUGCCAGCGAUGAGCUGGAGGAAGGUGAGGAUGACGUCAAGUCAUCAUGGCCCUUACGUCCAGGGCGACACACGUGCUACAAUGGCAGCUACAGAGGGUCGCAAUACCGCGAGGUGGAGCCAAUCCCUAAAAGCUGUCUCAGUUGGGAUCGGAGUCUGCAACUCGACUCCGUGAACGCGGAAUCGCUAGUAAUCGUGGAUCAGCCAUGCCACGGUGAAUACGUUCCCGGGCCUU